rnacentral:tRNA from 1 species
UCCGGGAUGGUGUAAUUGGUAGCACCUGUGACUCUGGAUCACAUAGUCUAGGUUCGAGCCCUAGUCCCGGAGCCA